GAAUCGCGAUAAGUAAUGUGAAUUGCAGAUUUUCAGUGAAUCAUCGAAUCUUUGAACGCACUUUGCGCCCCUUGGUAUUCCGAGGGGCAUGCCUGUUUGAGUGUCAGUGAAUUUAUCAACCAUGUCUUGGACUUUGUUUCUAGACACGGCUUGGACUUGGGAGCUUGCUGGUCUUUCAUGAUCAGCUCUCCUUAAAUGCAUUAGCGGAGCAUCCGAGGCUAGUCUUCUUCGGCGUUGCAUGGCUUGGACGUGAUAGUGAUAGAUCGUCCUGGCUUGGAGCGUCAAGACAAACUCGGGCACUUUGCUUCCAAUCCAUCUGGAUGGGGAUCAUCUUGCUGGAGGAGACUUUAGUUAUUAGUGGACACGAACACAGUCGGGCUAGAAAACCCCUCUGUUAUUAGUCGAGACGAACACAAGGCCAUCCAAAACAUAGACUGGGUUCCAUCUGACUUUUUACACCCUUGACCUCAAAUCAGGUAGGACUACCCGCUGAACUUAA
rnacentral:rRNA from 1 species